UGCAGAAUCCCGUGAACCAUCGAGUCUUUGAACGCAAGUUGCGCCCAAGGCGAUCACGCUGAGGGCAUGCCUGCCUGGGUGUCUCG
rnacentral:rRNA from 1 species